UACGUAGGGUCCGAGCGUUGUCCGGAAUUAUUGGGCGUAAAGAGCUCGUAGGCGGUCUGUUGCGUCGGUUGUGAAAACCUGGGGCUCAACUCCAGGCCUGCAAUCGAUACGGGCAGACUAGAGUUCGGUAGGGGAGACUGGAAUUCCUGGUGUAGCGGUGAAAUGCGUAGAUAUCGAGAGGAACACCUGCGGCGAAGGCGGGUUGCUGGGCUGACACUGACGCUGAUGCGCGAAAGCUAGGGGAGCGAACGGG
rnacentral:rRNA from 1 species